rnacentral:rRNA from 1 species
AACGAACGCUGGCGGCAUGCCUAACACAUGCAAGCCGAACGAGACCUUCGGGUCUAGUGGCGCACGGGUGCGUAACGCGUGGGAACCUGCCCUUAGGUUCGGAAUAACUCCCCGAAAGGGGUGCUAAUACCGGAUAAUGUCUUCGGACCAAAGAUUUAUCGCCUUUGGAUGGGCCCGCGUUGGAUUAGCUGGUUGGUAGGGUAAAAGCCUACCAAGGCGACGAUCCAUAGCUGGUCUGAGAGGAUGAUCAGCCACACUGGGACUGAGACACGGCCCAGACUCCUACGGGAGGCAGCAGUGGGGAAUAUUGGACAAUGGGCGAAAGCCUGAUCCAGCAAUGCCGCGUGAGUGAUGAAGGCCUUAGGGUUGUAAAGCUCUUUUACCCGGGAUGAUAAUGACAGUACCGGGAGAAUAAGCUCCGGCUAACUCCGUG